rnacentral:rRNA from 1 species
GUGCUUAUCUUUUGAUAGGCUUUUGCCAAAACUAAAUCCUUUGGCGAAUAAGAGGUGGGCAAUACCGGUGCCAGCAGCCGCGGUAAUCCCGGAGCCUCGAGUGGUAGUCACAUUUAUUGGGCUUAAAGCGUCCGUAGCCGGACAUAUAAGUUCCUCGUGAAAUCGUUCGUCUCAAGCGAACGGCGUGCUUGGAAUACUAUAUAUCUAGGGACCGGGAGGGGCAGAGGGUACGCCUGGUGUAGGGGUAAAACCCUAUAAUCCCAGGUGGACCGCCGGUGGCGAAGGCGCUCUGCUAGAACGGGUCCGACGGUGAGGGACGAAAGCUUGGGUAGCGAUCCGGAUUAGAUACCCGGGUAGUCCAAGCCGUAAACGCUGCCCGCUAGGUGCCGCAUAUUCUUCGAGAGUAUGCGAUGCCGAAGAGAAAUCAUUAAGCGGGCCGCCUGGGGAGUACGGUCGCAAGGCUGAAACUUAAAGGAAUUGGCGGGGGAGCACAAGCCGAA